UGUGUUGUGGCUCAGUGGUAGAGCACUUGCCAUGAGCACUUGCAUGUGUGAGGCACUUGGGUUCAAUCCUCAGCACCACAU
rnacentral:tRNA from 1 species